rnacentral:lncRNA from 1 species
CUCCUCCUCUUGCUCCCCCAGCUCGCCGUCCAGGGCCAUCACACCGCCUCCUCCUCCUCCCCCGCCCCCUCUGGCACCCCCCGCGGGCGGGCCACCCGGGCCACAGCCAGAGCAGGCAUCGGAGAGCUCACGCGGGCCGAGGGCGCGCGACUGGGGAUGCUGGCCCGGGUUCUUUUAAGACGGGUUCUGGACACAAGCGACGGCAGCUUCCGCGACCCCCAUCAGCCCCGCCUCACUCUGGACACCGGGCUGUGAGCUCUGGGACGCGCCCAACUUGGAAAGCGUCUUGCUUGCCCAGCGCGCGCUACUUCUCGGACGAGCACCCGGCGGCGGGGCACAUGCUGCCCCCGCCCCUGCGCGCCUGCGGCUCCCGGCUCUCCCUCCCCUGCGCCGCGCUCUCGCCUCGCUUUCCGCGGGAGCCUUCCAACCGGUUCUCGGCUAGGGAGAAGGACGGGAGCGGUGGGAAGAGCGAGGGUGUAGAGAGGGAAGUUAGGGCUUUCGCUUUCUCCCCCCACUCCAGCGGCGGCGUUCGGUCCUCUGGGUGGAAUGUGCUCGCAGCAGCAGUGACGGCGGCCACAGCACGGGAGGCACCCGAGCCAUACACCCUGCAGCUGGAGAGAAAAGGAUGGCCGAGGUGGGAGAGACUAGAGUGAACCAGCAGGAGGAAGUCCCAGGGCCGCGAAGCUACGACGGAGAUCCGUCCUGGAAAAGCCUUCUCCACCCUGGGCACUUUAAGCGGCGGUGGCGGCAAACGGCAGGAGGUUGCAGACCCGACAGCGAGACUCCCUCAUUCCAGUCUUGCUCUGCCCUCCGGAGAUGACAAGUGAGAAAGAAGUGUCCGGCCGGGCCAUCCCCUUCAGAGAAGCAACCACUUCACAAGAAGAUUCUGAAGUUGGCCAUUUUUGAUCCCAGAACAGUUUCUCAUAGAUUAGAAAUAUUGGAGUCUACACAAAAAUCGAUAUUCAUUUACAAGAUCAUCACUAAACUUAUCUUGCAUAACGUAAGUGGCAAGCUCUGACUUGUGAUUUUUUCAUAAGAAAAAUGUUUUUUAACUUAGUAUCAUUUCUACAACAAUGUCCCAUGAUAAUUGAUUCUAGGUGAUUUGAAACACUGCUUAGUCCUGUUUUAGAAAAAGCUCCCAUAUCUGAUUUAGUCUCAUAUGCAGCUUACUUCUAACAUCAGAUUGAAUUUGCAUUGAGUUACCUUACUCGGUUUAUUUUUUAAUUAUGUUGCAGUUACAAGGGAAUAAGGAAAAGUCAGUAUAGUGCAUUGAAAUGUCUUUUUUAAUUGAGACACACAAGAAAUGUGUUAUAGGUUCCCAAACAUUCUUCAUGUAUUAGAGAUGUUAUAAUAAUCUUUUGAAUAGCCAAGUGAAAAGGAAUGGUUUCACCUGAACAUGUUAGAAUUUAUUGCUACAUUUUUUGUGUGUUGUGGUGGAGAAAUAAAUUUUUAAAUCGCAUUUAUGGAGUCAUUUCAGAACAAGUAGAAAACAUGUAAUCUGGUCACUUUGAAUGUGUAAGUGUUUGUAUCUGAACUCCUCCUGCCCUAUUAAGAGUGGAAGGUUGUACUAUAUGUUACUCAAAAAGUAAUUUUCCCCGGAUAUGCAAUAAGACCUCAGAUUUGACCUAUAAGCUGAAUGUCAUAAGCUAUCCAUUAGCUAUGCUGGAAGCACACCACCAACAACAAAAAAGUUUUAAGUAUUUUUAUAGGCUUGCUAAAAUCUGAUUAUAGAACCAAGGCAGUCAAAUACCAUGAGUAAGACUGCAGAAACCCUAGAAUUUAACUCCCUAGUUAUUCUUAAUGAGUGAAUCCUGUGCUUUGUGUCUAAAAGCAAUGUAUUGUGCUUUCCAAUUCAGGAAAUGCAUUUUAAUUGCUAUACUCAUUGAUACAUCAAUCUGUCCAUGACAUUCUGACAUAUAUCCAGUUUCCUAUGGAUUCGGUAUAGGAGCAAAUUAAAAGAUGCACUAGAAUGGUAACAUUUAAUCUAUAAUCCUCCAUUUAACCUUUAUGUGGCUGUCACAGAACAAGUCCUGUUUUUAGAGUUGAACCAAAAAACAAACAAAACAAAACAAAACAAAACAAAACAUGCACACACACUAGAGAAACGGCUUUUUUUUUUUUAACCUGGGGACCAUGAAAAAGUUUUGACCAUUCCCCGACCCCCAUGCUUCAACUUUAGCUUUGAUAGUUAAAGUAUGUCUUCCUUCAGUUUAAGUUGAACAAACUUCUGCAUAAGACCCUCCAGAAAACCUCUGAACACAUACAGUUUUGGGGGCAAUGGGGACUGAACUAUGUACAAAUAGGUGAUACUUCAGCACACAAUUCCUGGGAUAAAUUUUAUCCUCUUCUCAUUUUUAUUUUUAUGAACUAUAUGGGGUUUUUUAAACAAGUUACAAGAAGCAAAACACAUUUUACCUUUACUCUGUUACAUAUUUCAAAUUAAGCAGAUCCUAAUUAAUUGGGUUACAUUAUGUAACAAUAGCCUUUUUAAUAUCAAAUGGUUUUUAUGAUCUGUCUUCAAUUUUUCUUAAAAUGAGACUGCACUAAAGAUUUUCUUGACAUUUCUGAGAAUUUCAUUUUCAGUUUCAAAAAAUUAUUUAUUCCUUUAAUCUUUCAAUGUGGAAAAGUAAUGAAUAUUGAUUCAUUUUUAGAAGCGCUAACAUCCAACUAGGUAAACUUCAUGAGUGAUGGCUAUUAAUGUUCUCUUUCAUCUUAUAGACAGAAAAUCAAAGCUAUUUAAAGUAAAGGAUUUGUUUCAAAUCAAUGUAUGUCCACAAAUUAACAUUAAUGUUUACAAUACUUUCUGUGAUAAUUGUGUCUUACUUGGGUGUAUAUAUGUCUUUAUAUCUAUCUGUAAAGAUAUAGUUGCAAGUAGAUGAGAGACGAAUGUUCAUGUUUCUAUAUGGUCUGAAUAAAAGUGUUAUCACUAUGCUAACUUGCAGUGUUAUAAAAUGCACCAAUGGCUCUUUGUGCCACUCCUUCAUUUUCAGUGGUUACCAAGAUAGUCAAAUUAAACUGCUGAUGUGAUAAUCAUCCAAACAUUUAAUUUUAACACUAUGAUUAUAGAAUUUUUUUAUUUCUAUGAGAUUUACCUAUAGUAGCUUUCUGUUUAAUGUUCAAUGUUCUAUAGGAGUUUCCUUUUAAAUGUUCAGAGCAGGAGCUAUACCCUCUAGGAUAUGCAAAUAAUCAAGUCUUAGCCUUUGCCUGCUACUGCCAACCUGAGAGGGGAGCUUCUGCUCUGCAGAUGGAUGGACAGCUGCUGAUCUUCACCUCCUGUCUGUUCCCACAAUUCUAAAAGAAUUAGGCCUGAGGAACUUAAUCUUCUGGUGUUCCAUUGUGAACUGACUUUAUUAAAUUUUUUCCAAAGUUCAGUGUUCUUCAGUUCUUUCUCAGAGUACAAAUUGAAGAGACACAGAGCCAGUUCCAAAUGAACUGAAAUUGUUUUGUAAAAAAUUAAUUCAAACAAUAAUGCCAUGGAAAAGCACUUUGAAUUUUUCAAUUCCCAGGCUAUUGAUUCUAAAAAAGAAACAAUUCUAAAUUAUCCACAUGUUCUCAUUUAUUAGUCUAGAGCUCUUGCCCAAAGAAUUAUUUGCCAAGGUAAUAUAUAGAACAUCAGGAUGAUUUACUUGCUUUUCUAAUACCAUUUUGCCCACAAACUCUAUGGAACUGAAAGCAUGUCAGCAGCAAAAGAAGGUCCACUAGCAGCUAUAAAAGAGAGCUUACUAAUGAACAAUAAAUAUCUAAAAGUAAAGGGAAAGGAGCCAAAUUCCAUUUUCAAAAGCCAAAAUUCUGCAGUAGGUAAAUAUCACAGAUAGCAUUGCUUAUUAUUUAUAAUCACUACUAAGAGUAAUCUAUCAUUUCUUUAAAUCCUCAAAAUAGGUCUCUGCCAGCCACAUUAACUGCCUGCAGAAAAGUUUGUUAUGACUGCCUGGUUUUGUAAAGUCCAGACAACUUUACACUAAGCUGAAUAAUGUUCAUUUACUCAAAAGCUAGUCUAAAAUUGUAGAGUUAAUGAACACUAAACCAAAGUUAGUGCUUUAACUGAAAGAUAAUUUACUGUACCCUUUGGAGUCCAGUCCGGUACCAUCAAGAUCUGGGAAAAUACAACUGGGACCUGGGAGCAACAAUGCCUGAGCAGCAAUGAGCAAGUUUAAUGCCCAGUCUUGAUUUCUAAAUGCUUUCCACUAUAAGAAACAAGAGUUUAUUGAGACUCUGAAAGCAGAACAGGGGAAGAAUAAGGAGCUUUGAACAUGUUGGGCCAGAAGGUAAGAAAGUUCUCAGAAAAACAAUGAGAACAUGACCAAAGGAUCCAGGAGCCACCUUGAAGGAGCUCCUACUGACCAAAUCUGGAACAACUUAAGCAUAUAAAUAAGUAAUGAGAGUAGUGGAUUAUAAUCCACUGCAUAAAGAGGAACCCAUGAAUCCACAAUUAUAUAGUAAGUAAAUAGAUAAAUGGGAAGAAAAUAAAUGGGUAAGAGAUUAUUUCUUAAAUUAGAAUGCCAAGUAAUAAAUACAAAAGGAAUUCAAGCAAGACAUCAAUAAAUACUAAAAUUAGUGGAUGAAAGUGAGAUGAGAAACAGAAUUUUACAGAGUUUCAAAGUAUCUUUCUACAAAAUGUUUAAUUACAAAGGGAGAAAAAGUUAACAUUAUAGUGGAGAAACCUAACAGACACUAUCUGAUGAAGUGAUCAAAGUUAACACUCCCAGUAAUUGGAAAAAUCAGUAUCAUAUGUCACCUAAUCAAAUGCAAUGAGAAAAACACAACAUCACUUCUCUAAAAUUUAUAACCUGGUUAUAAUCAAGAGGAAACAUUGGACAACAGAAAUUUGGAGAACUUCUAUUGAAUAACUGACCUUGGAAAAUGUCAAGGCCAUGAAAGUCAAGUAGAGAUUGCAGAACUCAUUCAGACUAAAAGGAGAUAGAGAGACAUGGCAGACAAUGGAGUGUAACGUCUUCUCCUGAACUGGACCUUUUUACUAUAAAGACAUGAGAACAACUGGCAAAACUUGAAUCGGGUCUCUGGGAGAAGUAUAUUCAGGAGUCCACCAUACUGUUCAUGCAAAUUUAUUAAAUUCAUUCAUGUAAAUUUUCUGUAAGUUUGAAAAUGAAAAAAUAAAACCCACUUUAUUCUUAUUAAUUCUUUUUUUAGGCUCUCACUGUGCAGCUCUAAAGUUAUAUAAGCCAAGAAAGGGACAUUAAUGGGAAAUUAAUGACAGCAUCAAUAAAAUGGAAAAGAAGAUGAACUAAUUACAUAACAUCAACCAAUCAGUUUUUUCAAAACAGGUUUUACUGUUUGGGGUUUGUCUACUCUGUUGGCAUCCUGUAGGCACCAGCUUUGCCUAUUCACAUUUUCCUUUCACGUAGCUUGUGUACCCAUUUUAAACACAGCAAAAGAUACUUUGAGAAUACCUUCUGCACUACUUUUAUCUUUUAUUUUCUUUCCUUUUCUUCUUACCUUCCUUCCUACUCUCCUUUAUUUUUGGAAGCUGCAUUCACCCUACUGGAAGAACCUAUUCUGAACAUAAAGUAAUUUGCCUCAUCCUGCUUAUCCCCAUGACAAAUAGUUUAAGUAGCAUCUGGUGAGACAAGAGAAAAGAGUAACUAUACAUUUACCCUUCUGCACCCUCAUCUUCUACCCAGCUGUCUCUCCUCCCUUUUCCUCUUUAUCAAUAUUUUCCCCUUCUUUGGACCAACUAUUUAAACUGUUCUUAAAAUUUAUUAAAUAGAAGUGGACCUCCAGCAAUUUUUCUUGCUCCUAUAAUCUAAAGUAUUCAAACUCCUCACUUGAAACAUGAAAGAAAAUCAGGAUGUAAACGUUCCCCUUUUUAAACUUUUUUAUUUUCUAAACCAUCUUCCUCUGCAUAAAGUCAGUCUGCCACUCUAAACAGCACUUGUCAGGAAUGUGUGAAGUUAUUAAAAGAGAAGGAACUUUAGAAGAUCUAAAUUCAAAUUACCUUGACUACCAUUCUUUAGUAAUAAAAGGGGAGAUAGAAAGAAGACAGAAACCACCAGAUUUUCUAAAAUCUCCAGCAAUAUUCAUCCAUCUAAAGCAUCUGAGAAACAAUGACCCAAGUUAUAUUGGGAGAGAUAUUUUAGCUCUCUUGCCUGAAUCUAACUCACAGAAACUGGGGAAAUAUCAAAAAUCACUUAUUCUAAAUGUUUCGGUCAAGAAGUGUUUUGGAUUUCAGAUUUUGGAAUAUUUGCAUAUACAUAGUGAGAUAUCUUAGGGGUGGGACCCAAGUCUAAACACAAAAUUCAUUUAUGUUUUAUAUGCCCUUUAAACACCAUAGCCUGAAGUUAAUUUAAUAUAAUAUUUUUAAUAGUUUUGUGCAUGAAACAAAGUUUUGACUGUUUGACUGUAACCCAUUACCUAAAGUCAGGUGUGGAAUUUUCCACUUGUUACCUGGAGUGCAUCAUGUUGGCAUUGAAAUAGUUUUGGAUUUUGGAGCAUCGGAUUUCAGAUUUUUGGAUUAAGGAUGUUCAACCUGUAUUAGAUAGCCUGGUGCUUUUCUCCUCAUAAUCACUCCAAUAAUAAUGAAAGGAUAAUCAUAAAGAUGACAACAAUUACAACAAAGAUGAUAAAAAAAAUUAAGCCACUUGGCAACACUAUUUGUGGCCUCAUGAAAAUGACUCCCAAUGUCAUAAUUCCCUCUGAGAUCCCCACAAUAAAAAACUAUUGGAACUAGAACUGCAUACCGCAGUUAUUGGUCAUUUCACAUGGUGCCAUGUUCAGGCAUAGCUGGUAUGAGUGCUAUUUGCUUUCAUCCAGGGGAGCCAUUCUCAGUAAGCUUCAUCUCUGUGCUGAUGAGAGCCUGGGUCUGUUCUUCUAGCCCAGGAUCUUCACAUCUCUCAAAGGACUGCAGCUCUCCUUAGAUAUUCUGUGUACCACAGGAAGGGGCUGUACCAAUUUACAGCAAUCUCUUUUCAACAUGGUAACUAAUGCAAGUAUUAGACCACAAGGCUUCUCUUUGGAAACUUGUCCAAAGGCUGUCAUCUCUGCUAUUCAUUCAUUCAUUCAUUUAGUCAACAAAUAUUUAUUAAGCAACAAACGUGUGCAAGGCACUGUUCUUGGCAUAGUGAACAAAACAGAUUAAAAUUCUGAUCUUGUGGAACUUGCAUUCUAAUAAGGGAGACAAUUUUUUUUUAAAAUGAAGUAAAAUAGAUAGGGCGAUAGGGAGUGCUGGGCCCAGGAAGAAAGGGUUACAAUACUAAAUAUGAUAGUUAGGGAAGCCCUCAAAUUUGAACAAGGAUCUGCAGGAAGUGAAGUAUGUUGAUAUCUGGGGAAGAGGGAACAACAAAAGCAAAGGAAUUGAUACAGGAAUGUUGCUGGUGUCUGAGAUAUGGCAAGCAGGUCUGGGUGGCCAGAGAGGAGUAAAGUAGGAAAAAAGGAAAAGUAGGUGGGGUUGGAAAAAUAAUGGGGAGCCAAGACUGGGUAAGGUUUUGUAGGCUAUUGUAAGUACUUAGACUUCUACUAAGUGAUGGAAAGCAACUGAUAAAAGUUGACUUUCAAUUGGAAAGAGCCAUGAAAGUUGAUGGAUGGUCAACUUUUGACCUGAGGAAUGACAUGACCUAUUGUAGGUUUUAGAAAAGUCCUUCCGGUAGAUUUAAUGAACAUUCACUGAAAGAUAAAAAAGAGGGUAAUUGAAAUAAUCCAUGCAAGAGAUGAUUGUAGCUUGGAUAAGGAUGGUAGUAGAGGGGUGGUGAGAAGUGGUAAGAGUUUUGCUGAAGGAUUAUACAUGGGUUGUAGGUAAGAAACCUCAAGGUUGAUACCAGGAUGUUUGAUCUGAGCAGCUAGAUGGAUGAAGUUGACAUUUAUCGCAGGACAGUUCCCUGAAUGGCCCUGGACCCACCCAGUUCUCCCCCUUUCUUGUUUACAGUUACCAAGAAUAACUGUAAAAUGUGCUGGGAAUGCAAUGUCCUGAGAUAAGGAAGAACUGCCUGAAACAGCCUGGAUCUUAUUCCUGUACUUCCUAGGGAAUGUAACAUCUCAAGUUAAAGAGGAACUGCCCGGAACAGCCCGGGGAUUGUUCCUCUCUCCUGAGAAGGAAGAUUACCUCCAAAGCUCAUCCACUGAGUCACACUGCCCCUGUGGUGGAGGGCGGGCUGCCUUUCCAGGUUCCUCAGCUGUGGUGUAACUGAAGCAGGCACAAUCAAGACUCCAUCUGCUCGAGGCAGCUUUCUCGAACCUUGGGGAACCUACUCACAAUGGAUCACAGGCUUCUUUUGUUUUGUUUCUUGCUGCCUAUCUGUAAGUAAUUAACUUGCUUCAUGUAACGUGUUGCAUAUGAGUGUGUUCUGUCUCAUAGACUCAGGGAAUUGGUAACACUGCAGCUGAGGACGCAGUGGACAGAAGUGUUCAGACUCCUGUUCCUUGUGGUUGACACAGUGAUGAUGAUCUCUUCUGUCCUCCACAGAGUGGAAGUCCUCUCUUGGGAUUGGUUAUUGGUGAAACCACUUCGCAAUUUAUUAAGAUGGCAAAAGCUUACGGAGGGACAGAUUUGAGGGGAAGAUCAAGAUUUUUCUGUCAGUAUUGCAAAUAGUCAAGAAUAUGUGGUCCAAGAAGUGAUCAUUAUCUUUGGCAUUGUGCAAGUCAUUAGUGACCUUCACAUGAACAGUCUCAGUGGAGUGUUGGAGGAAAAAGCCUAACUGAAGAAGGUUCAAGAGUGAAUGGAAAAAGAGCAGUAGUAUGUGGAGAGUACAGACAAGUAUUUCCAGGAGCCUUUCUGUAAAGAGUGGUAGAGAAUGGGACAUCAUUUUUGGAUGGGGGAAGAGUUAUUUAUAGCAUGUUCAUAUGCUAAUGGAAGUGAUCUACUCAUGGGGAAAAUCUUGAUGAUGCAAGAAAGAAAGGGAUUUGUUGGAAUCUUGUCCUAUAACGGGUGAGAGGGGAUGGGUUCUAGAAGAAAAGGCAUGGGUCUUUGUUUGAGAUCAGGCAAUUCAUCUGUAGGAACCAGUAGGAAGAUGGUUAAGUGGGUACCUGUGGUAGUGGAUGUUUGUGAACAUUCUUUUCUUUUCCAUUGUUUCUAUUUUCUCAAUAAAGUGGGAAGCAAAAAUCAGCUGAGUGAAGAUGAGGAAGAAGGUGUUAAAGGUUUGAAGAAAAAAGGAAAAGGAUAUACUAAUCUAAGAGGACAAGUAAGUAGAACAUAGAUAAUGAAAAUGCUGGCCCUUAGGACUGUUGGGCCUAAAUGCUCAUAUUAUAUUGGUAGUCACAAAUUUGAACUUUCUCUAGAGCCAAUUUUUGCAUGUGUGUGCAGGCCUGGAGUAGUUGGAGAGUUGGAUUUAAUAGAAUUGAGGGUCAAGCAACUACAACCAGGGAAGAGUGGGACAAGGGAGAUAAAGGAUAUUGGCAGGGGAGCAAUUAUAAACAUGGACCAUGAUCAAAACUGGACAGGAAGGAAAAUAGAGAUAAGAGGGGUGGAAGGUUAAAAAUAGUGAAAAUGAGAUAGAAUGAAUAGGUUGUAGGUCCCUGUAAAGUUGAAGAAGUAUUAUUAUGCAGUACUCGUUAUUGAAAUGAGGUCACUAUGCUUAAGGCACAGUGAAUCCUAGAAAAUAGUGGUUUUGUUUCUCAUUAGGCAAUACAUUCCUCCUUGCUCCAGAAUGCAACAUACAUGUAUCCUUUUCUGUACUAUUUUUUAUUAAGAAUUCAUACUUAAUUCCACUGACUGCCACUCAAUUUUAAUGUACAGUAGGGAAUUCCUGUACUAUGUAUUAUGAAUCCAUUCCUUUGAAUUUCAUUUAUAAUACUUCAUGACUGACACCUGGCUUUCCACCAAGACUCAAUUUUCAUAGCAAGCCUCAUCAUCAUAAGCCCCCAAAUUAACAGGAUGAGGAGGAAGAAUUGGCAGGCUAAAGAAGAUGAUUAUAUCAAUUAAUGCAGAAAAAGCAUUUGAUAAAAUCCAAUAUUCAUUUGUAAUUAAAAACUCUCAGCAAGUUAGGGAUAGGAAUUACUUCAACUUAAUGAAGAGUGUCUUUAAAAACCUUAUUUUCAUCAGUUAUAACAAAUGUACCACUCUGGUGGUGAAUGUUGCUAAGGAGGGAAGCUAUACAUGUGUGGGGAAAGGAGAUGUGUGAGCAAUUUCUGUACCUUCUACUCAAUCUUCUGUGAGACUAAAAUUGCUGUAAAAAAUAAAGUUCAUUUUUUUAAAAACCUACAGCUGUCAUUCUUAAUGCUGAAAGACAGAAUGCUUUUCUCUAAGAUAGGGAACAAGGCAAAGAUUCAGUUCUCACCACUCCUAUUCAACACAGCACUACAAGUUCUAGCCACUGAAAUGGGGGUUGGGGGGAAGCAGAAGAAGAAAAGAAAUAAAAUGUAUACAGUUUCAAAAGGAAGAAUUAAAAUAGUCCCUGUGUGCAGAUGACAUGAUUGUCUAUUUAGUAAACCCAUGGAUUAUACAAAAAUAAAAUUCCGAGAACUUAAAAAGUGAUUUCAGCAAGAUCACAGGAUAUAAGAUCGAGAUGAAAACCAAUGUCAUUUCUAUAUACAGUAAGUCCUCUCUCUUAAUAUCAUCAAUAGGUUCUUGGAAACUGACUUUAAGCAAAACAACAUAAAACUAAACCCAAUUUUUCAUCAUCAAAGUUAUAACAAAAUGAUGUUGAACAAAACUACAUUAUUUCAGGACCUGCCAUACAUCAUGUCACUUAAAAUUACAGUUUCUAAGAACCUACCAAUGGCAUUAUGUGAGAAUUACUGUAGUAACAAUAAACGUAUGAAAACCAAAAUUAAAACACAUUUACAAUCAACCCAAGGAAAAUGAAAUAUUGAGGUAUAAACUUAAUGUUUUAUGAGGCAACUUAAUGAGGCAAAAAAAUGUAUACUAUCUGAUGCUGAAAAUUGCAAAUGCUGAUGAAAGAAAUCAGUGAUGACAAAUAAACAGAGAGACAUACUAUAGUCACAAAUUGGAAGACUCAACAUAGUAAAAAUGUCAAUUUGCCUCAAAGUAAUCUGUAGGUAUAAGACAAUUAUCAAAAUUCAGGGAAGUUUUUUGUAGGCAUUGGCUAGCCUAUUCUAAAAUUUAUAUGAAAAGCACAAACCUUAGAAUAUCUAAGAUAAUCUGAAAAGAAGAAUAAAGUGAGAGGAAUCACUCUACCUGAUAUUAAGCUUUAUAAUACAGUAACAGUACUCAAGACUGUGUGGUAUUUGCCAAGGCAUGGACUCAGAUCAAUGGAACAGAAGAGAAAACACAGGAAUAGACCCAUAUAAACAUUUCCAACUGAUUGUUUUCCAAUCGAUUUGUGACAAAAGUGCAGAAGUAAUUCAGUGAAGGAAGGAUAGCCUUGCAACAAGUUGUGCUGAAGCAGUGAGCACCCAUAGGCAAAAAGAAAAAGAGAACAUCAACCUUAACCUCACAUCUUAUACAAAAAUUAAUCCAAAAUUGAUAAUAGACUUAAAUGUAAAAUAUAAAACAUUUCACAAAAAUAGAAGAAAGUCUUCAGGAUCUAGGACUAGGCAAAUAAUUCUUAAAUGAUAUCAAAAGCAUAAUUCAUAAAGGGAAAAGUUGAUAAAUUAGACCUCAUUAAAAUUAAAAACUUAUGGAAAAUGUGCUGUUAAGAGGAUAAAAAAUAUAAGCUACAGACUGAAAGAAAAUAUUUGCAAGCCACAUAACUGACAAAGGACUAGUAUCUAGAAUAUAUAAAGAAUUUUCAAUACUCAGUUGUAAAAACAAAAUAAUUCAACCAGAAAAUUGAUAUGAGCAAACAUGUCACUGAAGAGGAUGUACAGAUGGCAAAAAUGCAUGUAAAAAGAUUUCAACUUCAUAAACCGUUAGGGAAAUGUGAAUUAAGCAACCAAUCAGAAUGGUUAAAAUGUUUAAAAAAUAGUAACACCACCAAAUAUUGGCAAGGAUAUAAAGGAAUCGAAUCACUCAUGCAUUGCUAGUAAAAAAUGUAAAGAGGUACAGCCACACUGGGAAACCUUUUCAUGGUUUUCUAAAAACUAAGCAUGGAGUUACCAUACAUCCCAGCAGUUCUACUCAUCAGCAUUUAUCCCAGAGAAAUAAAAAUUUAUGUUUACACUAAAACCUAUAUAUGAAUGUUCAUAAUAGCAUUUUUCAUAGUAGCCAAAAAUUGGAACCGUCUCAGGUGUCCUACCAUGGGUGAAUGGUUAAACAAACUAUGGUGCAUCUAUAUCUACCAUGAAGUAGAACUCAGCAAUAAAAAGGAAUGAACUAUUCAUACACCUUAUAACUUGGAUGCAUCUCCAGGUAAUUGUGCUGAGUGAAAAAAAAAAAAAAAAGCCCCAAUUCCAAAAGGUUAUAUACUCUAUGAUUCUACUUCUGCAAUGUUUAUUAAAUGAUAAAAUUACAGAAGUGGGAAAAUGAUUAGUGGUUUCCAGGGGGUAUAUACAGUAAGGGUGAGAGGGCCGGAAGAGUGCAGUUUUAUAAGGGCAACAUAAGGGACCCUUAUGGUGAUGGGACUGUUCUGUAUCUUGACUCUGUUGGUAGUCACAUGAAUCUACACAUGAUAAAAUUGCAUAGAAUUAAACAUAUAUACACACUCAAAUGAAUGCAUGUAAAACCGGUAAAAUCUGAAUAAGGUAAAUGGAUCAUAAUCAAUGUCAAUUUUCCAUUUGUGAUAUUAUACUAUAGUUAUGUAAGAUGAUGUUAGCAUUGGGAGAAACUGGGUGAUGGAUAUACAGAAUCUUUCUGUAUUAUUUCUUGUAAUUGCAUAUGUAUCUCAAUGGUCUCAAAAUAAAAAGUUAAAUAAAUAAGAGAGACCAAAAAGUGGCUUUCCAGUGGAGAACUGAGAUAAUCUGAGCAUCUUAUGCUCUAAAUAAAGUAUGCAAUAAAAAUAAAAUAUAUAUAUAUAUAUAUAUAUAUAUCUGUAAGUCAUAUUGAAAGUUACACACCAUUUUGGGGAAAAGUCAAGUAAAAACAGCAGUAUACACUAUUAGCUUUAACAUUAGGCUUUGAGACUAUCUCUGGCCUUUUCUCUGGCCAAAGGGAAAGAAAUCCUCAGAUCUACUCUGAAGCCUUUCUUAGACUGAGAAGCCUCUGAUAGCAUUUCAAAGCAGCUUAGUGCCAAACAUUCUUUGAGCAUCCAGUAAGAGUCUGUUUGCAACUUAAUAGAAAGAUUUUUUAAGUUGCCUUUUGACUAUACACAAUGAGUUCUCUUUUUAUCUGGUUCCUGAUUACUCUCUGACCUUUAUCAUACAAAGAAAGAUCUUUCAGCCUAUUCCAAUCUGUACUAAAAUUCAGAUAAGAGGAAGCAUCCUCAAAGCUGGAUUAUCUGACUCUGAAGCCAGCGUGAUCCUCCUACUGCCUUCAGCAGCUUUUCGUAGUGUUCAGCCAGAACUGACAUUUCUACAUUCUACACUGCCAGCCUUUAAUGACCUCUCUCAUCUCCAAACUUCUAUAACAAUUAUUACCUAUACUAUGCAAUAAAAAACACUCAUUUUAAGUAUAAGUUUAAUGCCAUGUUGACAAAUGAAUUCAGCCCUGUGUGACCAUUGUCAUAAUCAAGUAACAGAACAUUUCCAUCACCCUAAAAAGUUCCCUUGGCCUCUUGCUCUUUUCCCCAGCCCCAGGCAACCAUUAUUUUGCUUUUUAUCACUAUAGUUUUGUCUGUUCUAGAAUUUUACUUAAGUGAAAGCAAAAGUGAAUAUUCUUUUGUCAUCUGGCUUCUUUAAAUUCUUCAGCAUAAUUUUUUAUAUUUAUGCAGUUCUUCUUAUCAGUUUAUUUUUAUUGGUGAGUAGUAGUCUUUUGUUAUAUAAGUUAUAUAAGUGGUAUUAUAUUUUGUUUAUUCAUUUACCUGUUCUUGGAUGUUGAGUCACCGCAAGUUUUGGACUAUUACAAAUAAAGCUGAUAUGAAUAUUCAUGUAUGAGUCUUUGUAUGCCAUCAUAUGCUUUCAUUUCUCUUGGGUAAAUAACUAGAAGUGGAAUGACUGGAUCUAAUGGUAAGUGUAUAUUUGUUUAAUAUACACUUUAUAAAUACUCGAGCAUUUAUAAAGUAUUUUACAUUCCCAUCAACAACACAUGAGAGUUAGCAUUCUUGCUAACACUUGCUUAUUCUUUUUAUUGUAGCCAUUCUGGUGUGUGUAUAGUUAUCUAUCAUAUGGUUCUAAAUUACAUUUUCCUGAUGACUAAUAAUGUUGCACAUCUUUGUAUGUGCUUACCAGCUUCCAUAUGUCUUUUUAUUUUUUGAGAGUUCUCACUAUAUUUCCCAGGCUGAUCUGAAACUCCAGGGCUCAACCAACCCUCCUGCUUCAGUCUCCAGAGUAACUGGGAUUACAGGUACAUACCACCAUGCCCAGCUCAUAUAUUUUCUUUUGUGAAGUUAUGCUAAAAUCUUCUGCUUAUUUUUAAUUGGGUUGUUUCUCUUCUUAUGACUGAGUUUAUAUAUUAUGGAUAAAAUUCUUUGUCAGGUACACAGAUUAUUAAAAAUUACCUCCCAAUUCAUGGCUUACUUUUUGUUUUGCUUACGAAUGUCUUUGAAAAUCAAUGUUUUCAUUUUAAUAAGAUCCAAUUUAUCAUUUUUUUUAAGUUUUGCUAUUAGCCAUUUUGUCUUCUAUGAAAAUUUUGCCUACCCCAACGUCAUGAAGAUUUUCUCCUAUGCUUUUGUCUAGAUGUGUUAUAGUUACAUCAUUUAUAUUUAGUGCUAGGAUGCAUUCUAAAUUUCUUUUGAUUCAAAAAUAAUAAUAAAAACCAGAGCUCAACACCCUUUGUCUCCAUUAAUAUGAAACUUAUUUUAAGUGAACCUGUUAGAGGAUCUAUGUUUUAUUUUAAAAAACAAAGAAUUACCAACAAUGUAAUAAAUAAGAACAUUAAGAUCUAUCAAUGAGGGUUUCAAAUAUGUAAACUGUUUAGAUUUUUAGAAAACUGCCUAGAUUUCACAUCUACCAAGGCAAAAGCAUUAACUGUAAGAAUUUGCACCUUAAUUGUGCGCUCUUCAAGAAUUCCACCUCUGGUUCUGUCUUUGCUCUUGAAAUUCUCACAGCUCAAUAGGUUUUGCAUAGAAGACAUGAGAACAGGAGGGCUCAAUAGCAAUUCUCCCCUUUUCCUGUAGUCAAGAGUUAGAAGAACCAUUACACAAUCAGUAAAUUCUAAACCUUCUGCAUUUGUUCUCCUUCCUCUUCUCUGAUGUUCUAUUUUCAGUGAUUUAUCCUCUGAAAUGGGUUAGUCUCAGAAAAUGUAAGAGGGAAUUUCACAAUCAGGAAAAGCAUUUGUAAUAUUGAUUCUUUUUAAAAUGUAUGUGAAAACACAUAUGAAUAAGCACUUCGCUUUUUUUUUUUUUUUUUUUUUUGAGACAGAGUCUCGCUUUGUUGCCCAGGCUGGAGUGCAGUGGCGCGAUCUCGGCUCACUGCAACCUCCGCCUCCCGAGUUGAAGCAAUUCUCCUGCCUCAGCCCCCU